rnacentral:rRNA from 1 species
CGGAAGGCCCUUCGGGGUACUCGAGCGGCGAACGGGUGAGUAACACGUGAGCAACCUGCCCCUGACUCUGGGAUAAGCCCGGGAAACUGGGUCUAAUACCGGAUACGACCGCCUCCGGCAUCGGGUGGUGGUGGAAAGUUUUUCGGUUGGGGAUGGGCUCGCGGCCUAUCAGCUUGUUGGUGGGGUAGUGGCCUACCAAGGCGACGACGGGUAGCCGGCCUGAGAGGGCGACCGGCCACACUGGGACUGAGACACGGCCCAGACUCCUACGGGAGGCAGCAGUGGGGAAUAUUGCGCAAUGGGCGGAAGCCUGACGCAGCGACGCCGCGUGGGGGAUGACGGCCUUCGGGUUGUAAACCUCUUUCAGCAGGGACGAAGUUGACGUGUACCUGCAGAAGAAGCGCCGGCUAACUACGUGCCAGCAGCCGCGGUAAUACGUAGGGCGCAAGCGUUGUCCGGAAUUAUUGGGCGUAAAGAGCUCGUAGGUGGCUGGUCGCGUCUGCCGUGAAAGCCCGCAGCUUAACUGCGGGUCUGCGGUGGAUACGGGCCGGCUAGAGGUAGGUAGGGGCAAGUGGAAUUCCUGGUGUAGCGGUGAAAUGCGCAGAUAUCAGGAGGAACACCGGUGGCGAAGGCGGCUUGCUGGGCCUUACCUGACGCUGAGGAGCGAAAGCGUGGGGAGCGAACAGGAUUAGAUACCCUGGUAGUCCACGCUGUAAACGUUGGGCGCUAGGUGUGGGGGUCUUCCACGAUCUCCGUGCCGGAGCUAACGCAUUAAGCGCCCCGCCUGGGGAGUAC